rnacentral:rRNA from 1 species
GACGAACGCUGGCGGCGUGCUUAACACAUGCAAGUCGAACGGAAAGGCCCUGCUUUUGUGGGGUGCUCGAGUGGCGCACGGGUGAGUAACACGUGAGUAACCUUCCCUUGACUUUGUGAUAACUUCAGGAAACUGGGGCUAAUACCGGAUAGGAGCUCCUGCUGCAUGGUGGGGGUUGGACAGCUUCGGCGGUUGGGGAUGGACUCGCGGCUUAUCAGCUUGUUGGUGGGGUAGUGGCUUACCAAGGCUUUGACGGGUAGCCGGCCUGAGAGGGUGACCGGCCACAUUGGGACUGAGAUACGGCCCAGACUGCUACGGGAGGCAGCAGUGGGGAAUAUUGCACAAUGGGCGGAAGUCUGAUGAAGCAACGCCGCGUGCGGGAUGACGGCCUUCGGGUUGUAAACCGCUUUCGCCUGUGACGAAGCGUGAGUGACGGUAAUGGGUAAAGAAGCACCGGCUAACUACGUG